GAAAUGCGAUAACUAAUGUGAAUUGCAGAAUUCAGUGAAUCAUCGAGUCUUUGAACGCACAUUGCGCCCCCUGGUAUUCCGGGGGACAUGCCUGUCCGAGCGUCAUUGCUGCCCUCAAGCCCGGCUUGUGUGUUGGGCCCUCGUCCCCCGGCUCCCGGGGGACGGGCCCGAAAGGCAGCGGCGGCACCGCGUCCGGUCCUCGAGCGUAUGGGGCUUCGUCUUCCGCUCCGUAGGCCCGGCCGGCGCCCGCCGACGCAUUUAUUUGCAACUUGUUUUUUUCCAGGUUGACCUCGGAUCAGGUAGGGAUACCCGCUGAACUUAAGC
rnacentral:misc_RNA from 1 species